GCAGCAAUAGAUCAGUGGUAGAGCCCCGCUUCGCGUGCGGGGAGACCCGGGUUCGAUUCCCGGCUGCUUCC
rfam:Toxocara canis scaffold708, whole genome shotgun sequence.